GGUUGUCGCCUUCACAAUAUAUCGUCCACAAGGAGAGAGAGAGAGACAGAGAGAGAGAGUGAGAGAGAGAGAGUGAGAGAGAGACAGAGAGAGAGAGACAGAGAGAGACAGAGACAGAGAGGGAGAGAUACCACUCUAAGCACCACACCCUUGCCAAUUUUCCCUGCUCUGGAGAAUGUAGGAGACUGGGAUCUGGAACUCAACAUAGAUGAUAAGUUCAAGACUGACAAGGAGGUCAACGUCCAUGUGCAGCUGAUUAUGAAUGAGGAGCAAUCCUCUGGAGUUGACACCCUGCCAAGAGGUAUGUAUAUUACCAUGUGCAGCUGAUUAUGAAUGAGGACCAAUCCUCUGGAGUUGACACCCUGCCAAGAGGUAUGUAUAUUACCAUGUGCAGCUGAUUAUGAAUGAGGAGCAAUCCUCUGGAGUUGACACCCUGCCAAGAGCGUUCAACCAUCUCAUCACAGUGAAUGACACCAUGUCCUUCAGGUACUGGGUAAGCAAAGCAAUGCCAGAAGAGGUGGCCUACAGAUAUGUCUGUAUCCCUCAUGUACCUGGGUUCUGGGAUCAGGUUGUGGUGGGAACCCGUCCCCUUCCCAGAACGGAGAAGCUGAUCGGACCUGAUGACUCCUUACCGAGAUUGUUCAAUGUGUCACUUGGGUCCUACAGGUUUCAUUGAUGCUGUUUUGUCUUGAAGAAACAGAUCAUUUUGACUAUGUGGUGCACUUUGUUGCCCAGGAGAGGGCAGUCUAAGGUCGUCACAGUUGUUGACAACACACUGAGAAACCUCACCUCGAGCAUAGAGUUUAGAAGAAUGGGAUUCUAUCUUUGUAGGUGGUUUACAGCUCAGUAUGUGUCACCACAAGACAGGCGGCUUAACCUUGUGUUAGAUUGUAAACCCAGUGAAGGUGCUACUUUGGUCCAUGUCAUAGCUUUGUUGGCUUCCAGGAUUGGGAUGGAAACAGUAACACCUCACCUGGCCCAGCAACGGACCAAAGAUGAUAGCAAUUACUGUUUCAAUGGCAGGAAUGCCAACAGCAUGUUCACAUGCCCCUCAGAUGGUAAUUCAGGAGGUAAUUACAUCGAUAUUGUUGAGGAGUUUAGCUCCUACCACAACAGUGGCGAUGAUGUUAUUGGUCUCACUCACAUGUCCACAACCACAGAGUGUUACAGCUUCCUUUAAAGUAGAGCAAUGAUGUUUGUAUAGUGUUCCCUCAGCCUACAAGAGUCUACAUGUGGGACCGUGUGGUGACAUGAUGCCUAAAGGUUAUUUUAGGUCUUGUUUGACAAUGGGCCCUGACUGAUAAAAAUUAAUAUGGUGAUGUUCUCAAUGUCACAUGUUUACGAUUUUAUACCUUACGUUAAUUGACCAUAUUACACCUGGGUAAUGUGUAUACCCUUUUGUAUCAGCCAACCUUAUAUAUCUAUUGCCUUGAAAUAAAAUAUGUCUUGCAUAUACA